GGGUGAGGCUAUUAGGGGUUGGAGGAGGCCUCAAGGGGAACCCACAGUGGCGUGGGGACCCCAGCGCCAGUGAGGGUGCAGUAUCCUCAUAGGGGACUCACAGCGGAGUGUGAGGACCCCAGCACCAGCGGGCACAGCACACGGGGUGUAUAGACCCCAGCCCUAGAAAGGGGCACAUUUGAGAAGCCCUAGUGUGGGUGUGGCGAGCCCCAGAGAGGGGGCUCUAUUGAGAAGACCUAGUGAAGGCGCAGCAAAACCUGGGGAGGGGGUACUAUUGGAAAGCCCAAAGUUGGGCACGGAGAGCCCCAGAGAGGGGAGUGCCUUAUUGAGAAGCCCAGGUGUGGGCAUGGAGAGCCCCAGAAAGGGGGCAACAGUACUGGAAAGCCCAAGUUGGGCAUGGCAAGCCCCGGAGAGGGGAGUGCCUUAUUGAGAAGCCCAGGUGUGGGCAUGGAGAUCCCCAGAAAGGGGGCAACAUUAUUGGAAAGCCCAAGUUGGGCAUGGCAAGCCCCGGAGAGGGGAGCGCCUUAUUGAGAAGCCCAGUGCGGGCGUGGCGAGCCCCAGGAGGGGGCACCAUUGAGAAGCCCCAGUACAGGUGCAGAGGAGACCCCGAGAGAGGGCGAGGAAAGCCCCAAGAGGGGGCAGCAGUGUAUGUAGGGAAAGAGAUAGUGACAGUCCAAUGUCCAUUCCAACUGUUAGGCUUGGGGAGUGGUAUAAGGGGUGGUUGGAGCCACGCAUAGUCCAUAAGGCUAGGGUGCUCCAAAGCACCCAUUUGCAGGACAAGACCCACGAGGGGUCCAGGAGUCUACAGGACCAGAGGGUACAACGGACCGUGUCUAAGACGACGUGAGGCAGCCUCCCAACUGAUUUAAACCAUCAAAGACGUGGCGGGAGAGAAAUAGAGGGUGCCCUUGGGCCAACUUGGCACGGAGAGGGGGCCUUAAGGAGAUCACGGCCCAACUGUAGGACCCCACCAUGACAGACGGAGACAUACUUAUAGAGGGGACAGUUCUGGAUACUAGAUGCCAAGUCCCAUUAAUACCCCUUGGUGUAGUUCGUCAUCCUCUGCAGCUUGAAUCUCAAUGGUGAAGACCCAACAAAGCCUAAGGGUGUGAAUGACUAUGUGGAGAGAUGUCUUUAAUUUGUUGCAGGUGGCAGAGAUCAUCUCCCCUUGCAUAGCAUAGGCUCGGGAAAGAAAAAAUGCUGCAGGUCUACCUCUCGGAGAUGGCUUAGGAGAGCCUGGACUCUUCAGGCAUUUUCCCUAACGUCCCUUUGGACUCCAGAGGAAUCUUGGUCUGCAGAACAUGAUGGACCCUGGCCUUUAAAACUCUUACACCACCAAAAAGCGGCACUGGAAACUUCUUCAUGAAUGCAAGCGGCCAGAGCCUGGGCUCGCAUCCUGUCCCGGAGCUGUGGAUGCUCCAGCAGCACCCUGAUUUUUUUUUUUAUUUUUUUUUUUU